UAGGGUAGUGAGGGCAUUGUGGGGCUCUGU
rnacentral:piRNA from 1 species